GAGGAAGAAGAAGAGGAGAAGGAAGAGGAGGAGGAAGCCAUUUGUGGUCAAUUCUCUCUACCCAUUUCUAUAAAAACCUAUGGCGUUGAGGCUGAGUGUUGCUUCUCCACACGGUCUUUUUUGUUCAACCACUAAGGAUCUCUGGCUCCUCUGUCCACAUACUUCAACCAAGGCAAUGCACAGCAACACAUUGAUGCAAAAAGAGCCGGGAGAGUCCAAACAUCAAAUCAAGUGCUGUAACAGGCCCCAAGACCAUAGCACACCUGACACCAUGAUGGAAUUCAGGCCUUGGAAGCCAGCAUGUAUGCAGCAAUACCUACCAAAACCAGAAUAAACACCUAACCCAUCCAAGUCCAUAGUUCUGGGAAAGUCCCUGAAGGCAUUAACCUUGCUUGCUUUUUGACUUCUGUAGUGCUGCUUCCGGCUAAUUGGUUUUGGUAACUGAGGUGUGUCAACCCAGGAGGUGGUUUUGUGCUUAAAAGCCCGCUAGCUAAUGAACACUUUCCAUUGGCUUGAACCCAUGUCCAAUUGGUCUUCUCUGGUGAAUACCUCACAACAGUGCAAAGGGGUCCUAAAGUCAAUAGUGUUGAAAACUGCCAAGCAAAAUAUCUGAGUUCCUGGUCCAGGGUCCCCUCACUAACAAGUACUGAGUUCAGUCCAUCGAUUUGGAAUAAAACAGGAGACCAGGCUAGAUAGUGUGGACAAUACAGGCUGAAACAGGCACCAAGACACUGCUUUUGCCAACAAGCAUUGACACUACUCUUGAGUACUCAAAAAGACACACAGAUAACUCAUUGUUCUAAACUUGAGGCUGCCUUGGGUCCCAGAAACAACAGAGCAUCACAGACAGAUCACCAUCAAUAAGAGCAGUAUCCAUGAGGGUGAGGCUAUAUCCUCAAACAGAAGUCAUUGCCUCCUGAGAACCAGGUUGCCCAUCCUCCCACACCUCUAACCUGAGCAAUGACUUCUUAAGACCACAUGCCAAACCUAAACUGAGAGACACGACCAUACCAUGAGCAGGAUUUUUUGUAUGUCUCUUGUCCCCCUGAUACAGUUCUAUUUAAAUCUAAAAUUCAUGUCAGGACCUCAAAGAUAGACCUGUGGGUCACUGGACCCUUUUAUAUGCUCCUCUUUCUAAUAUGGCCACACUAAAUAAAUCUCCUCUAGGGGAAAGACAAGCAUGA